GAACGUUGGCGGCGUGGAUUAGGCAUGCAAGUCGAGCGAGAACCCCGCAAGGGGGGACAGCGGCGCAAGGGACAGUAAUGUGUAGAUCAUCUGCCCUCAGGUCCGGGAUAGCUGCGGGAAACUGCAGGUAAUACCGGAUAACAUCUCCGGAUCAAAGGUGUGAUUCCGCCUGAGGAUGAGUCUGCAUCCUAUUAGCUAGUUGGCAGGGUAACGGCCUACCAAGGCAUUGAUGGGUAGCGGGUGUGAGAGCACGACCCGCGUCAUUGGGACUGAGACACUGCCCGGACACCUACGGGUGGCUGCAGUCGAGAAUCUUCGGCAAUGGGCGCAAGCCUGACCGAGCGACGCCGCGUGUGGGAUGAAGGCCUUCGGGUUGUAAACCACUGUCAGAGGGGAUGAAAUGCAGGUGGGUUCUCCCAUCUGUUUGACAUAGCCUCAGAGGAAGGACGGGCUAAGUUCGUGCCAGCAGCCGCGGUAAGACGAACCGUCCAAACGUUAUUCGGAAUUACUGGGCUUAAAGGGUGCGUAGGCGGCGCGGAAAGUUGGGUGUGAAAUCCCUCGGCUCAACCGAGGAACUGCGCCCAAUACUACCGUGCUUGAGGGAGAUAGAGGUGAGCGGAACUUAGGGUGGGGCGGUGAAAUGCGUUGAUAUCCUAAGGAACACCGGUGGCGAAAGCGGCUCACUGGAUCUCUUCUGACGCUGAGGCACGAAAGCUAGGGUAGCGAACGGGAUUAGAUACCCCGGUAGUCCUAGCCGUAAACGAUGAGCACUGGAUUGGAGGGUCCUCCAUAGCCUUCCAGUCGCAACGAAAGCGUUAAGUGCU
rnacentral:rRNA from 1 species